ACUGGUCUGGAUUUGCUGUACUCUGCAAGGAAUUCUGGUCAGAGACCAAACUGUAAUGGUACUCAUCAGACUUGGGAACUUGAGAACUCGGCAUUUCUUCCUGCAGAAUGCUUAAUUCUUCUUCCUCUGGAGGUUUCAAUGCAGUCCCUGGGGCGUGUUGCACUUCAGGCUUUGGAACAUCAACCUCCUGAGGGUUACACUGCGUGGAUCCCUUUAAAGAAAAAAAAGAUUUAAUGAUCUCUCAUCAAAACCCAAAGAGGACCAGCAAGAUGGCUCAGCAGGUAAAGGUGCCUGUUACUAAGGCUGAAGACCUGAGUUCCAACCCAGGAACCCACACGUGAGAGGGGAGAGAACUCUCUGGUGUCGUCCUCCGACCUCCAUACACAUACACUGUGGCAUGCUGCCCCUCCCCAGUCACACACAAAAUAAGUAAAUAAACAUAAACAAAACACAAAGAGAUUGAAAUCUUCCAAAAACUGAGCUGGUGUUGCUCUGAAGAAACCCAGAGUAGGUCCAAAUUAGGAACACUAUUGUACUGAGGAGACAGUAGUACAUUAAAUGUCUUGAUCUAAUAUGAAAUGUUUUUACUAAACCUGUGACCAUUCUUAUGACAUGGCAUUUAAAGUACCUUGCUCUUUUUAUUUGUUCAAAAAUCGACCAGUCUACUGUUUUACAAAGAGAAAUAAGGAACGCUCUGUUGCCCUCACAGAAAACCCUAGCACAGGAAAUGACACAUGGGUGAAACAUGUCCAACAAGGUCAACUGAACUAAUGAAAGUCUCUCUGUUUUGUACUGCAAACUUUUGCCCGUGGAUUGUAAAUUGAGGAUGUCUCAGAGUUGAGUCACCCGGCCUGCCUCACAAAGAUGGAAGAUGGGGGGCAGAGACACAGCUCAGUGGUGUAACACUUGCACCUUACAAAGAAAAAAAGAGCCAAGCACCAAGUAGACAAUAUAGCUGUGCCCACCGAUUUGCCUGUGGUCAAGUCCGAUGAUAUCUGUUCCGCAGAGCUGAGGAGUAGGGGAACAAAGAUGCCUGCAACCCCAUCCCCAGGAAGGUUUGCUGCAUGGUCCCCCUGAUGUCUGUCACACAUCAGGGCCCAGCGCCCCACUCUCAAUUUGUAAUCAGUGUAAGUAUUAACAGGUUCCAGAAUUAGGUUCCAUGCCCAUUUAAAGAAGUGGAUUCUACAAAAAGAGUCCCACUUGGACAUCAUUAAGGUAAACUAAAAUCCAAUCUAGCUGGGCCUGCUAUCAAUAAUCCAAGCGCGAGAUUACUUUUUACUGAUCCUGCUUUCACCAAGUCAAGCUAUCUAUAAUAACAAGGCAGAGAUCAACAUGGCAAAUACGACAUGAAGUUCACUCGAAAGCACAGGAGCAGCUGUCAUCCUUCCGAUUUAAAAGCACUGCAUGUGGACUGCUACAUGGAUACUUCCAAAACAUCGCUGGCUUCCAGUCCAAGAUAUCUGUGAUUCUGGCUAGCCCUGCGAGCCCAUAAAGGGAGAGAAAGAUCUUAGAGAGGCGAAAAUCUGUGAAGAAGAUAACUAACCUGUGAGUUAAAAAAUUCCUUACCAGAUAGUUCAGGACAAGGCUAAUAUGAGCCUGACAAGGCUCAAGCAUCUUCUCCCUUUUCAUCCAAACCUGUUACAGAUGGAUGGACGGAUAAAGUUAAUAGAAGCCCACGGAUCUAACGCCCACGCCACACCCACCCUUUGCUUCCCCUGGCAUUGCCCCGUCAGAUCCACUAGGAACUUGGAAAAGAAGAUGAAGUAGCUUAAGUGUUCGGAAUACCAUCCUGAAGUUGAGAAACACGAAGUGAGGGCAGAGCUAAGACAAAACUGGUUGAGAGACUGGUUUUGGAAAUCCAUGGUUGAGCUUACGUGAGAGUCAUUGAUUUCGAGGAAACCCCUAUGAAUGCCACAAGUCUGCCACACAGUUCAUUUUAGUGGGACAGUACUUAAAGUCAAAGAAAGUCCAGUACCUAUCAACACUGAAGAGAAUAAUUGGGAAACAGCCUUACCGCAAUUUUCUUCAGGAGUACCCGGAGCAAUCGAAGGGCCUCAACCCGCCGCUGAGCCAGCAAGUACUUCCUCUCCUCCCACUCCUCUGAAGAGUCCAGCUCCUGACGAGUCUCAGCCUUGGCUUUCACCUUCUCCUUCCUUGGCCGGUGUCUGUCUCUUUCCUUCAGAGAUCGCCUCCUGUCCCUGGCCUUCUUUCUCUUCUCUUGGGCUUUCCUUACUUCAUCUUUUCUUUUUCUGGAUGACAAUUAAAAUUCAUCAUUUGAGCAAUAA